rnacentral:rRNA from 1 species
AAUGAACGCUGGCGGCGUGGAUAAGACAUGCAAGUCGAACGAAGAGAUUGAAUAGCUUGCUAAUUAAUCUCUUAGUGGCGGACGGGUUAGUAACACGUGAGCAACCUGCCUUGAAGUGGGGGAUAGUCCUGGGAAACUGGGUUUAAUACCGCAUAUACUCUAUUGAGGAAAGCUAGCUUUUGCUAGUGCUUUAAGAUGGGCUCGCGUCCUAUCAGCUAGUUGGUGAGGUAACGGCUCACCAAGGCGACGACGGGUAGCUGUUCUGAGAGGAAGAUCAGCAACACUGGAACUGAGACACGGUCCAGACACCUACGGGUGGCAGCAGUCGAGAAUCAUUCACAAUGGGGGCAACCCUGAUGGUGCAACGCCGCGUGGAGGAAGAAGGCCUUAGGGUCGUAAACUCCUGUCAUCUAGGAGUAAGGCAUAGAUGUUAAUAGCAAUCUAUGUUUGAUAGUACUAGAAGAGGAAGGGACGGCUAACUUCG